AAGCCGUGGACUUUAAUUACUUAACGUCCUUGUCUCCAGUCCAGAUAUUUGCCCCCCCCCCCAUCAGGAGUUGACGGAGACUGAGGUUCCAUACCCGGACACGGAUUCGGUUGGAGAGAUGCCUACAGGGCCAGAUCAGUUUGCUGUUCCACAUCAGGAUCUGAAUAACAAGCAAACCCAACAUCAAAAGCUCCCACAGGCAGUUACAGUGCUAGACUGGGAUCAGAAUCAGCCCUUGGUUCUCCCCCCUUCUCGACACAAAAGAACUUACCUAGCCAUAUGGCCUGUUGCCUCUGCCAAUUUAAAAAUACCAUUGAGGUUGUCUGUAAGAGAGUCAAGCUGUGUUCUGACAGUGGAUGCCUGACAGACUUCACACGUUGUGGAAAAAUACUUUUAAUCCUUUUGGAAGAGAAGCCCGGCUACACAAUGGUAUACAUUACCUUCACACAGUCAGAAGCUUUGGAUGGUUCCCCAAGUAAAGCUGGAAAUAUUAGAAGUAAAAUGAAAUGAA